ensembl:lncRNA
UAAAAAUGUACUUUUAUUGCACCAUGCUCAUUCACUCAUGAGCUGCUGCAACAUGAAUCAAAUGACUGAAUUGCCACCUCAGCAUGCAGUCAAGUUCUGUAGUCUUGCUAAUGACCUACUAAUUUUAUUCAGGUGUGUUGCAGCAGGGAGACAUUUACAAGUUUCAUGACAUCAGCCCUGGAGGACUGGAGUUUGACACCUCUGGUGUAGAACAAAUGGAAUCUGUUGGGUCCUGAUUUUCAUCAGGGAAAGGACAGAAAUUGGUGAUGCAGUUUAUAGAUAGAACAUACUGGUACUCAGACACCAAUCAGAUCAUUAUUACUUCUUAGUUUCUAGAAAAAAUACCUGUGUAUCUCCAUCAUAAUUUGUAGUUUCUUUUUCAGAUUUAAUAAAAAUAACUUUUGGAACGUGACAAAAGAUAUCAUGGUUACAGCUGUAAUACAAUGACAAAUGACCAAACUCAAUUUAAUAAAGCAUGUACUUGACAGGUCCCAAAAAAAUAAGCAUGUACAUGAAGUUGGUCAAUGAUCCAGAAAAUAACUUCAAUCUGUUCAUAUACUGUUUUUGUCUUUGGAGUGUCUAUUAAAGGGAUAACAUUUUCAAUAAGAAAACACAAACGAGAUAGUCAACAGACCAUAAGAACAGUAAUGGUGAAGCAUAUACAGAAUCUCAUUUAAAAAUGCCUGACGGGGGUUGACAGGUGAAUCAGAGAGACUGUACAGUACCACUACUUCUAGUCUGACAUGUAAGGCUUUAGGGGCAUCAAAGAAAAACCAUCAAGUAGUACUCAGUGUCUGCACAGCUCCAGCACUCUGGGUCCCAUUUAAUGUGAUCCAAAUGGAAAAUGAUCAGUACAGUUUCUCACUUUGAAGGUUGCCUUCCAUGCGAAAGCAAAAAAUGACAAAUCUGAGCAAAGCUGAGUCCGAUUAUUCAGCUAGUUUCCAGUGCCAGUGCCAAACAGUGGUAACAGUCCAGUCAGAAGAGGCUCCCCUCGUUAGCUCUCGGUGGAAUCUGCGACGACACGAAGCAAAGAUGGUUAAAAACUUCCCACACUGUUAAUCAUGCACAUCCUAGAUUAGUAGUACAAGUUUAUUGAAAGUGCUGAAAGAAAAGAUGGACCGACUAACCCUGACAUUCAAACUAAGUUUUGGUUCUUGUCUCACCUUGAAAAUAAUUGUAUAUAAUUCUGAAAAUGGCGCCUGUUUCAUGCCAAACUGUCGGUUUCAUGUGAGCCUUCAGGAUAACAUUUGAAGUGUAACAGGAUUUCUCAGAGAGGAUUUUAAGACCUGGAACAAUAGGACAGAGAAUCUGGCUAACUAGAUAGGUGGGUAUUAGGUAGAAUAGCCACACAC